CACACAACCACAAGAACAAGGAGGAAUCAACCGACUCCUCUAGGUGGAACAGAGAAAGAAUAGGAACCUGCCAGUGCAGAGAAAGUGCUCUGGGUUUAAUAAUGCCCUCCAGAUAUUCCCCUCAUUCUUCCAAUCUUCACAGAAGGUUCUGAAAGCGAAGCUUUAGAUCGAUCAUACUGGAGCCCAGCUGCGGUCCAUCGCAGUGGUGUGGAUUGACCAAGAAGGAAGACAAAGCUGUCUUUGUAAGCAGUGACUGUAGAGCUAUUCUCAUGCAAUCCCUGCAUUGUCGUACUUUCUGUUCUAGGCUAUAUCUUUUGUCCCCGGUUCAUACGAUUGACCUACUCUGAAUUUCACCUCUUCAAGCUGUGAUGAUGUCCUGUUCUUGUGCAGAUUCAUCAGAAGAAAGCCCAGGUGACAGACGUUGAUAAGACAAAACAUCCUUUGGUUAUUCUUCACUCAAAAAUGAUUUUUUUAUUAUUCACUCAAAUAUGAAAUUUGAUGUAAAAUCUGAAGUACAGCCAUUUUGGCAAUGCUGAAACCACUGAAUAACUGAAUUUAUUCAAUAGCUUUUUCAAGUGCUCCUCUCUCUGUCUGGGAAUAAGUUAACUGUUGGAGCAACAAGAGGCACAUUUAAAUUUAUUUAUAAAUUUAAAGAAAAUACCUUGUCUGAAAAAGCUCUUGAUUAUCUUAAAACAUUAAUUAAGCCUUUAUUAUAAGAUACCGUACUUCAAAUGUUUCGGGAGAAAUUAUAUUGCAGUUCAACAAAACCUGCUUUUUCUUACAAGCAGAGAAAGCAUUGUUUGAGUGAUCCUCUUAGAUCAUCCCUAUAUCUGGAUAUGCAGAAUAUUCACAGUCCUUUUGCUGUUUCCACUGGAUUCAGAAACUGCUCCAAAUGUGAAAUAUACUGACAUUAGAUGUGUUAUCUUCUUUACUGUGUCCAUACGGAAGCCAAAUUAUGUACUUUUAUUACAUGUUAAUAAUCUGUUUUUGUAUUAAUAUGAUACCCCAUGUUGACAUUUGCAUGUCUGAAAUUCUGAUCAUUUUGUGGUGUUUGAAAUAAUAUUGUAGAAAAUGAGUCUUCUGUAUGGGAAAACAUGCAAUCCUUGGUUGACAGUCAAAUAAAAGCAAGACUACAUAUGA